CUCGUAGGUGGUUUUGUAAGUUGGAUAUUAAAGACUCCGGCUCAACUGGAGGAAAGUAUUCAAAACUGCAAUGACUAGAGAUAUGCAGGGGAGGAUGGAACUUACGGUGUAGCAGUGAAAUGCGUAGAUAUCGUAAGGAACGCCAAUGGUGAAGACAGUUCUCUGGGCAUUAUCUGACACUGAGGAGCGAAAGCGUGGGGAGCGAACGGGAUUAGAUACCCCGGUAGUCCACGCCGUAAACGAUGCAUACUAGGAAUAUGGAGAAUCGACCCUCUGUGUUUCGAAGCUAACGCGUUAAGUAUGCCGCCUGGGUAGUACGGCCGCAAGGCUAAA
rnacentral:rRNA from 1 species